CAAAGGCUUGGUCCUGACUUUACUAUCAACUUUAGCCAAACUUACACAUGCAAGUAUCCGCCCCCCUGUGAGAAUGCCCUACAGUUCCCCGCCCGGGAACAAGGAGCUGGUAUCAGGCACACCCCAUUAAGCCCAUGACGCCUUGCUUAGCCACACCCUCAAGGGAACUCAGCAGUGAUAAACAUUAAGCCAUAAGUGAAAACUUGACUUAGUCAAAGCUAAGAGGGCCGGUAAAACUCGUGCCAGCCACCGCGGUUAUACGAGAGGCCCAAGUUGAAAGACAUCGGCGUAAAGAGUGGUUAAGUAAAAACUAAACUAAAGUCGAACAUCUUCAAGGCUGUUAUACGCAUCCGAAGACAAGAAGUUCAACCACGAAGGUGACUUUAUUAGUACUGAACCCACGAAAGCUAGGACACAAACUAGGAUUAGAUACCCUAUUAU
rnacentral:rRNA from 1 species